CCAGGAGAGGAACCAGUUCUCUUUGAAGUGAUGCUACAGCAGUGGGUACAAGAGAUAGUACAAGCUGCUAUCAGUUGGAAUUAUUUGCUUCUGCUCACUUUCUCCACUUACUUGCCUUCCCACCCCAUCUUUGCUCUUCAUCCCUUCCCUUGUAGUCUACUUCUAGCUUCUCAUUUGAGGGAAAAAAAAGUCUAUUUGUCUAUGCAUCUGAAUAUCCUUGAGCUGUUUUUGUUCAUGACUGCAAAUCUCAUUGAUUUAACUUCUAAUUGUUUUUGGAGCAUGCUUAUUUACAGAUCAAGCUUUGUUCAGGUUGAAUUGCUGCAAUGAAGUUACUGGUAGAAUGGAAAUAACUUCGAGCAACUUUCUAAUUUCUUUACUAAGUAAGAAACUGCUAUUGAUUGCAUGUAAUAGCAUGCAAUUUCCUUUUCAUGUUCACAGCAUCUGUGCAUAUUUUUCUUCUACAGCUCGAGUGGAUGAAAUAAAUUUCAAUGUUGCACAAAAUGCUGGGAGCUACAAAAGCUUGACACUGGAUGCCUUUUCUGCCCAAGCAGCAAAGGAUGAUUGCAGACAGACUACAGAACUACUGGAUUAUGGAACGUUAAAUCUCAAAGCUAUUGUGCUUAACACCCUGAUAAGAAGAUAUUAAUUUUCUCAUUCAAAAUUCAGAGAAAGAAUACCACCUUCUUGGAAAAGAAAACACUUUAUCCACACAAACUAAAUAAAAUACUAUUUCAAAGAAGAAAGUAGAAAUACAUGCAGAGAAAAUAAAAAUUCUUUUCUCCCGAAUAGCUUUUGGGAAAAAGAAGAAAGAUUGUUGUGUGGAGAUGAACACCACGAAGAGAAGCAAGGAAGGAAUGGUCUUGGUCAGUAAAACUCAGUGAGAACCUUCAGGAGAACCUUUCACUAGUUAGGCAGCAGCCAUCAUGUAGCACCCACAGAUGUAUAAACUAUAGCCUGGAUUGUGUGGGUGGUUGCUAAUAAUCAGCUCACAAAACAAACACAACAGGGAAAACAGUGGAUCAAAUCAACUUAAGAUUUCAGAUGUAUGAAUUCUAAAGCAAAAAGUCAUGGAAAAAAACAGGAAUAAAUUUUACACAAAUUACAAAUAUUUGGUAUAUUUUAAAUAUUUGAUUGCAAAUAAUUAAUAUAUGAUUACAAAUAUUUAAUCUAUUUCUUAACUUAGUUGCACAUGGUUCAUUCAUGUGACCCAUUGAUAUGGAAGGCAACAGUUUUUUCAAGGAGAAUGAAGCCAGAAAAAAAACCAAACAGGAAUAUUUUUUGAAUGGUAAGGAAGAGGGAUGUGUUCUGAUCUACUGAGUGUCUGAGGGUUGCAACAAAAAAGCGAAACCGUGAGCCAUGUCUUUUUGCACAUAACAAAAUUUAAAUUCAGGAUCAGUUAUUUUCUGAAAGGUUAGUAGGAUCUUAAGCAUCUGACUUGUUGACAAAAAGAGAGUAUAAGUAUAUGGGCAUCCAUGAAGAAAGAAAUAGAGGAAUAGAUAUACACCCAAAAAUAUUUUAGAACAUUUGGGUAGAGACUUGAUGGAGGAGAUGGAAGAGAAUUCAUCCCUUUUGUCUGUGACUCCAGCAGUUAUUAGUUGAAAACAAUUAAUUAAAUCAAUUAAAGUUCAGUGGGCAUCUGGCAACUAGCCAAGGUCAUCCCACCACUCUUUUAUUGAACGUUGCUCCAAAGACACAACUGCUUUAUUUUUUACAUUAAGGAUAGAAACCAAAUAAAGUUGAAAUUGCUUUUCUUGGUGAUCACUUCUAUAUCACCAAGACAAUGAAGUAUGUUUGAUAUUAAAAUAGCAACAUAAGUACUUAUGUUUUGUAAGGGAGGUUGCCAUCUACAAAUUCAAUUUCAAUUGUAUCAAAGUGUAGAAGGGAAAAAAAAUUGUAUUGUCUGUCAACCAUGAGGCAUCAUAUUUCCAUGCCAUUUCCUUCUGCUUGAAUAGGCUUUUCUCCCCCAUUUACACUUCCGAAGAAAUAUGUGAAUUGUAAAGUAGAUGUUCUUUUUGAAAUUUUCCACUAUAAUUUAAGAGGAAAUAUUUACACUUAUGUGGCAUAUUUAGCAAAUCAGUUAAAAGAUAUAAAUGACAUUUAACACGAAUAUGUUGUGUGUGUUUGUUUCAAUCACUUAGCAUAUAUUAAAGCAUAACUGAGCAGCAAAACUAGAUGGAGAUUUUAAUAAUCUUAAUCUUAAUCUUAAACUGCAGGUGAAUGACUACUUCUUUUAAAGUUACCUUGUGGCGAUUCUACUAAAAAAAAAUAUUUGAAGUGAUUUAAUCUUGAAUCUUCUCCUAACUAUUAAUAUUGGCAGAGCUAGGUGUAAUUUUUGGACUGAGAAUAAAUGUCAAGAUAUCCUGGUUAAUUUAUACCUUUUGUAUUACUAAAUCACAGAGAAUAUCAGCUAUACGCAAGUUUGAAAGAGAGGUCACGAAUGGAGAGCACUGAGGACAACCAGUAAUCAACACAUAUUUUCACUGAUCUAGAUCCUCAAUUGGUAAAAAUCAAUAUAAUUCCUGUGAAGAAAAUGGUCUUUGUAUUGAUUUACCUCUUUUGUGAAAAUAAGCACAGCACUUGGUUGAGCUUCCUGUGUGAAAGACAACUUUGCUUGGCACAAUGUAGAAGAAAAGAAGAACUGAAAUUGUCCAAGAACUAAAAAGAACCAUUGAAACUGUCCAAGAACAGAUGUUUCAUUAAUGUUGUCUUUUCUAUAUUUUUUUUUUAAGUUGGAAAGAUAAAAGCCUACUUAUUAAGGAAACAGUGCUAUUCUAAGUUUUCAUGGGGUAAUUCCACACAUCAUUACUUUUAUUUGGAAGUGAUUAUACAUAUUAGUUAAAUAAAGUUAGGAAAACCAUGUUAAUACAAUUUCAAAUGGAAAUUAGAAUGUUCUGAUGUUUUCCGUUGAAAAUCAAUGCUUCUGUACAGAAAAGUCAAUCUUAAUAAAGCAAGUGAGAGAAGCAUAUGCAGAAUCAGUGCAUAGAUUGCUUACUGAUAAGGAGAAUGUAGGAAUUAGUGUCCAGAUCUGAAAACAACCUCACCUUUAGAGAUUUUUCUACCCAGAUGCAACAGGUAAACAGAAGACAUAUGAUGAUAGGGUGAACAUCUCAGAAAAUUCUGGUCUGAUACCAUCUAAGAAAAAUGGCAGAGCUUCACAUUGGCUGCAGCACAUGCAUAGUAAUAAAUUCCAAAGACAUAAAGGCAACAAAAAAAAUCUUUUCAAUAAUCAGGAAAGACUAGGGAUGGGAUUUUUUCCACAUGUUUCUACAAGCAAUGUUCCAAGUUUAUUCUACAUAUAAAUGUUGACAAUGAGGGAGAUACCAUGAGUAAUCAGCAGUAGGGUAAUUAGUGCUUCAGAUAAGAAAGAAAAGUCCACAAUUAUGCGAAAUUAAAGAAAAACAAGGUUUUAGACACUUCCAAAGAUUUUAAUAUGGUCUCCAUCUUUCUUUCAUUUUGGCUAAAUCAAAAUAUUUGACCAAUAAAUGUUCCAAUGUUUUACUCAAAUCCUAUAAUGAUACUGCAAAAAACCCUAAUUGCAGUGCAAACAUAUUGCCAUUGUGUCUGCAUUGUGUGUGGUGCUUACGAGCAAAGCCAAGUCUAAUAUGUUUCAGGAUUAGAGGCAGCUGGGUUUAGGGAAAUGAAAUUUAGGAGAUCAAAUUUCGAUUUUCUUCCUAUCGAAGGAAAAAAGGAAUUAACUUUUGAAGCUAAUGUUUUUACAUGGAUGGGUAAAUUGAUUGUGUGACAGUCACAUCUUAUGGUUUUAUAUGUAGUCUUUAUGAGAGGGGAUUAUUUAAAAUGAAUUACUGCAUUCAAUUUUCUUUCCUUGGUUGAUGAAAGAGGUUUUCAUUUUAAUUCAUCCUACAGUCAUAAUUGAAGGCAUGUUCAAACUAGUAUGUAGUGCUUAUUGGAUUUUAAGAACAUUUUAAACUUAUAUAGAAAAGAGAAUAUGAGAAAAAGACAGAUAUAUAUAUCUUUAUUUUAUGUUAUUGUUGUGGUUUCUGCAAAAAGGACUUUCCCAAAUAAGUUUCCUUCAGAAAGUUAAAAGUUUCUAAAAGUACUUGGUACUUGAUGAAUUGACAUUUUCAGUCAAAAGCCAUUUUGUCCAGUUCUACUUAGACUGCUGCUUCAUUAAACAGAUUUCCUGGUUUCAGUUGCACCACACUCUGUGAAAUUCCUUAUGUUCCACUUUUUUUAGUCAGUGGAGAGUGGAAUAUCAAUUAUGAUUAUAAUUUAUUGUUCUAUCAUCUUCAAAGACUCUCUGUCCUUUCUUGAGAGCUGUUACAAUUUAGUUCCUCCAAGGCACAAAAUACCAAACUAGACUUUUUUUUCAGAUGUUAGAAAAUAGUUUAACAUGAAGAAUCAAGUGAGUAAGCCUAUUCACAAGACCACUCAGUCAGAACCACUUCACAUUUGACAAGAAAGUUUUCCAAAGGAAAAAAUGGGUCUGUGUAAAGCCCUGAACAAAUUAAAAAUUGAGGUUGUCUACAGUGUAUACACUUAUUGUUAUCAAUAGUUUUUGCUGGAGAUAUUUUCACUCUCACCAGUCUGCCAUGAAUAGUGGAAGACAGUUUAUGUCAUCUCUCAUGCUUUAUUUACAAUGGUGAUUCAUGACACUCUUGCCCAGAAGCUCUAUAAGGAGAACACUGAUUUUUUUUUUUUUUUAACCUGGAAAAGGGCUCUCAAGACCAGCUGACCCAAAACAUGGCUAAAAUCAGGGCUAAAUUCAAAGUAGAUUCAACAGAAAAAUAUAAAAGUCAAUAACUCCCAUUAUUGACUUUAAAGAUCCCCAUCUGAAACUGUCUUGGUAUACAACUUCAUUUUUAUCAGUACACAUAUUUGAAGUUCAAAUGUAACCUGAAGACAUAAACAUAUAAUACAUAUAAUCAGAACAUUCCUCAUUGCUCUCAGAGUUUAAUUACCAGCGAUGAGUUUAUUGCCUUUUAUGAAAUUGUUGCUAGUGGACAGUUCAUUGGUAAUGGAUUUCAGAGCAAUAGGGAGAACCAAGUUUUCUCUAUCAAUAUAAGUGUAUUUUGUUGCAAGACAUGAUGCAAUUACUUGAGGAACAAUCAGGGGAAAACCUGCAGAGACACAGUGAGGAUUCAGCAAAUCCAACCUCCAGGGCAGACCACAAGCCGGACUGAGAGAGCAAAAGCAGGGUCAUCUGUUGCUUUAAUAAAUUCAUAAAGACAUUUGUUUCAGUAUGGUAGAAGGAUCACAAACUAGAAAGAGUCAGUUUCACUAAAAACCCUGUAUGAACAGAUAAAACAUUCAGUCAACCACAACCUGAAGAUUGAUAAGCUGAUAAGCAGUGCAUGGCCUAUUCCACUCUGUAUUCCCCAGCAGACAGCACUGAGCCUGAGAAGUAAAGAUGUGAUAACUGUAAGCUUUAUGUCACAAGUCAACAGCAAAUAAUUAUAAUGGCAGUCUUAAGACAGUAGUUGCUGUAAGAAACAGAAUAUGAAGUUCUUAAUCUUAGAAUCCACAAAAUACGAUAUAUACCCUAGAAAAAAAACUGACGUGAUAUGAUACAGGUCAUAUGAAGAUUAAUUCUCCCUUACAUACAAAUAUAAUAUAGAAUUAGAGAGAAACUCAGAUUUGUUUCUGUGAUUUUCAGACCCUGAGACAAAGGAAUGAAAACACACCAACCUACAUAAUUCAGAUCAUAUUUUAGGAGUAGUGCUUCUACAAUCAUUUCUGUGAGGUAAUUUUUGGUAUAUGUUCAUAAAUAUGACUAACCUAUAUUUUUUUUUCCUCAGUAUUCGGAAACAUUUGGAAAAUUCUGAAGCCAGAAUAGAACCAGUCCAUGAAAACUUUGUUAGAGGAUCCACUUCCUUUUGGUGUUCAGAAUUUAUUGAUUUACAUUGAUAACUUCUUCUUAUUUUGGAAAAUAUGGCAACUUGAUAAUCCCUACAUGCUCUCUUUAUUUCUUUUGGAACCUACAGUAAUGGAUUUGAAGUCCAGAACUCAGAACUUUUCAUCUACUGUUGUAUCAAGGGAUAUAAAAACAUUGAGCAAAAAUAGCUGACUCUAUCCUUAAUGCAGAGAAAAAAAAAGCUACGAUCAAAAUAAUGAAUAUAUUUAAACUUAGGUGCAUGGAUUAAUUUUAAAAAGCCUCAGAAAACAGGGUGGGGAAGACACAGGAGGGAGGCAGUACUCUAAAAAAUCACUAAACAAUUUUUUAAAGAAUUCAUGCAGCAGUUCCAAAAUGCAUAUGCUUUUUAGCCUAAUUAAGCAUAUGCUUUAGCAAUUAUUGAUUUGAUGUGCUCACUCGAGGGCUCAGAAUGCAGAAAGAAUUUUGUGACACUGGGAAAUACUUUGCUAUGCAAUUCUGAGAAAACUCUGGAGGCAGCAGAGUAGAAUUUAUCUUACUAAUGUUGUUUAUAAAAGCAGAUUCUUUUCUGUCAGACCUACCAAGGGAAAGAGUCAGAUCUAGACACGUGAGACUAUCUGGAAAGACAGAUGGAAAGAAUAAUAUAUAACACCUAACCCAUUCCCUAACCUCUCCAUAAAUUAUCAUAUACUCAGUUGUACUCAGUGAGAAUUGAAUAAAGUGACCUAAAAUCAAAUAGCUUUAAUCAAGUACCACCUAUUUUUGCAUUUAGUUUAAGAUUUAGUUCCAUCUUGAAUUCUCCUUUAGGUAUGUAAAAAAGAUAGUUUUGGCCUUCCUAGGAUCCUUUGGUUUUUUAUAUUUCUGGUUAGAUGAAAUAUCUUCUAUCUUCUCUAAAGAAAAUCUGCAGAGAAACAGAUGUUUCAGCCAUCAUUCUGUGAAGGGUGUAUUGAAGAGGUGUCAUUUUCUUCAUGGACUUCUGAACUGAACCCAUUUUUAACUGUCUCAUCCACCCUUCGAAAUGAAGGGCUUUUUUUUUUUUCCUAAAUAAAUAGCUUAUUGCUACAGUUUGACAUACAUAAAUAAUUUAAGACUGCAUAUUGCAUAUACCCAGAAAGCCCAGUCCAUUACUAUAUGAAGGCACUUGAAAAUAUUUAAUUUUUCACUGGUUAAGUUUCCUUUGUUUUUUAUUACAUAAGGUACCAAAAACAGUAUUGAUCUUGAAGAUGAUCUUUUUGUUCAAUUUAAUUUUAAAUGUGACAGUACUCAGAACAGAAGGUUUUCUUAGACCCAAAAAUAGCAUGUUUACUUCAUUUGUGUAAUUUAUAUGCUAAUAACGUGCAGUCUUGGAUUCCUUGGGAUAUUGCUUUACUGCUUAUAAAUUUUUUCCUGUGAUACCGUCUGGCACAGCAAUUUCAUGUCAGCCAUUAUCUGUGGAAACAGAUUAAAGCAUCCCUGAAGCUUUUUUUCUUUAUUUGAAGAGAAUUUUCAAUCUUCUAAAAGCAUUCAGAGAAGGGAGGGUAAAGAAAGCAAUAUAUUUUCCAGUUCAGGCAUACUCUGGCUCUUGAUUAUGGACACAAUAUAAAAAUAGUACAGCAUUCAUCAGUAUUGUUUGACAAAAAUGUAUUGAUCUCAAUGAACAUGGAUUUUGGAGGCAAUGAGCAGGCAGUAACCUCACUAUCUACUGCCAUCAGUGUGUCAGAAAGUGUUUUUGACAGAAAGGUAAUAGAGAAGGUCAAAAUUAACAGCCAGAAGGGAUAGGCAUUUUUUAGGUAAUACCGUAAAAGUACUGUAUUCUAAUAAGCAGCGGCUUAAAUAGUGUAAAUAGUAUUUGUGUUUGUAGUACAAAUAUUGAUAAACAAAUUUUAUUUUAGUGAAUAUCAACAUUUUUCAUAUUUCUUCUCUAGUUUCAGAAUAUCUGAAUGUAGAGGCCCACAAGUAAAUUGCUUCAUGAAAAAGUAGGGCAUUACAUUGGCAUUUUGAAUAAUGGGCUGUCUCCUUCAGGAUUCUUUAAGGGCGUAGACCUCCCAGACAAUAUGCAGACUCUGGAGUCAAGACAUCAGAUCAAAAAAGGCAAUUAAAAAAUAUUAGAAUCACCAAAGAUAUCUUUAAAAGAAGCAGCUGAAGAAAGUGGGAAAGGUGGAAAGGAAAAUGAAAGAGAGGAUGAGAAACUUAGGGAGGGAGAGGUCUGACCCAUAGUAGGUGAAAGAUAGUUUGGAAGAAGUUUAAGGGAGGAUUAGCUUUUCUGGUUGAAUGUGAGAACAACCCAUGAGUCCAAAUCUUACAUCAAGACAGUUUUAAGACAAUAGGAAGGACAAAUGUAUCAUUAAACUCCAGCAGUGAAAUGGUUUCUUAUCUUUUUCUUUAUUUGAUAAAGGGACUAAGCAGACAUUGACUCACGUAUUAGAUUAAAUAGAAGUUGAUAAUUAGAAUAUAUGUGUUUUUUCUAGGAAGGGGAAUAAUAUUUAGGAUUUCACAAACCAACCUCAGAAAGAAAGGAAUAUGCUUUGCAUCUGAGGCUGACCAAAAGAACAUGCCAUAGUAUUUUGAGAUUAUCAGCCUUAAGAAGAAGUGUUUCUGAAUGGUUUUAAAUGGUUAUUUUGGCCAAAAAGGGGAUAAGUAGAAUUCGCUUUUAAAUUAAAUGUAUCUCAAUUUGUAAAAAAUAAAACAACCCAGUUUUUAAAAAUAUGUAUUUUGCUUAACUUUGGUGCAGGUUCUUUGCACUUGAUGAUUUUAAAAUAUAUUUUCUUAAUAAAUGCCAUCCAGUUUCCUACUUAGGAUAUGUAUUUCAUUAUUUCCAUAUGGUGGGAGUACAUUCAAAUACAGAUGGUAUAAUUUUUUUAAAAUAUUUUUUUUCUCCUGUGUGUCUCAUUAUUCUGUGUGUCAGCUGAUGAUCACCAUGAAUUAAAGCAAGCAUGAAGACCCAUGAUGACUCAUAAAAUCACUUAAUUUGGAUUUCAAAGGUAUUUUAGGAUCUCCUAAAUCUCUGAAAGAAAAUAAUCUAAAAUAUUUGAUCCUUUGGGAAGCUAAAGAUAUCUGACAAUUAAAAAGCUACUUUUCUUAGUAGGAUUUCACUAGCAAACAAAAAUCAUACUACAUAACUGUUUGCAGAGGACAAUUUUACUAUUGGAUAUUCACCAAAGCUGUGAACAAAAGAUCUUUCAAUUUACUCUCUUGAUUUCUCAAACUGUACCUCUGACAACACAGAAUAUGGUUGACUUUUUCUUAAGAUCAUUCUCUGAGCACACAAAAAUUUUUAUAGCUGAGUUUAAAUGGAAGCAGUAUUUAUCCCAAGGUUGAUUUAAUUCAUUUUAAUUUUGCAGACACUGUAUCCAAUCUCAGGGGCCACAAAUUUAACUUAUGAAAUUACUUUUUUCUGCUUUCUUUUAAACUUUUAUGUAUACUGAGUGCCUAUGUGAUUCAAUUUUUCUAAUAUUAAUUCCAACAUAUUGCAAAUGUUCCUUUACAGCAUGUAUUACUUCGGGCACAGAAUACAGAGCUUUUUUUGUGUGUUCUCUUACUUUUGGGGAAAAAAAACAUGUGCUUCAUUUUGGAUUAAGCCACCUCACUAGUACCAGUAGGAAGAAGUGUAUGUUUAUAGUAAUGAAGUUGUCACUAUCCAUAAAUAUUAAUGUUAUAAUUUAUAAAUAAAAAUAAAAGGCCUCUAAUAUGCUCUUGAAAGUUGCUUGUGCUUAUCUUCUUCACCAGAUAAACUCAUGGAAUAACAAGUGAAAUAAAUACUAAAAUAAC